AGUGAACGCUGGCGGUAGGCCUAACACAUGCAAGUCGAACGGCAGCACAGUAAGAGCUUGCUCUUACGGGUGGCGAGUGGCGGACGGGUGAGGAAUACAUCGGAAUCUACUUUUUCGUGGGGGAUAACGUAGGGAAACUUACGCUAAUACCGCAUACGACCUACGGGUGAAAGCAGGGGAUCUUCGGACCUUGCGCGAUUGAAUGAGCCGAUGUCGGAUUAGCUAGUUGACGGGGUAAGGGCCCACCAAGGCGACGAUCCGUAGCUGGUCUGAGAGGAUGACCAGCAACACUGGAACUGGGACACGGUCCAGACUCCUACGGGAGGCAGCAGUGGGGAAUAUUGGACAAUGGGCGCAAGCCUGAUCCAGCCAUACCGCGUGGGUGAAGAAGGCCUUCGGGUUGUAAAGCCCUUUUGUUGGGAAAGAAAAGCAGCAGGUUAAUACCCCGCUGUUCUGACGGUACCCAAAGAAUAAGCACCGGCUAACUUCGUG
rnacentral:rRNA from 1 species